rnacentral:rRNA from 1 species
AUUGAACGCUGGCGGCAUGCCUAACACAUGCAAGUCGAACGGGGGUAGCGAUACCCUAGUGGCGGACGGGUGAGUAACGCGUAGGAAUCUGCCCCGUAGUGGGGGACAACCUGGGGAAACCCAGGCUAAUACCGCAUGAGCUCGGGAGAGGAAAGCGGGGGACCUUCGGGCCUCGCGCUAUGGGAUGAGCCUACGUCCGAUUAGCUAGUUGGCGGGGUAAGGCCCACCAAGGCGAUGAUCGGUAGCUGGUCUGAGAGGACGAUCAGCCACACUGGGACUGAGACACGGCCCAGACUCCUACGGGAGGCAGCAGUGGGGGAAUAUUGGACAAUGGGCGCAAGCCUGAUCCAGCAAUGCCGCGUGGGUGAAGAAGGCCUGCGGGUUGUAAAGCUCUUUCGCAAGGAAAGAAAACUUAUCUCCUAAUACGAGGUGAGGUUGACGGUACCUUGAUAAGAAGCACCGGCUAACUACGUGCCAGCAGCCGCGGU